ACCUCGAUAGGAUAGCCUGCUACACACCUAAGCUAUAUGGUGUAGCCUUUUGCUCCUAGGAUACAAACCUGCCCAGCAUGUUAGAGUACUGAAUACUGUAGAUAACUGUAACACAAUGGUAAGCAUUUGAGUAUCUAAACAUAGAAAAGGUACAGCAAAAAUACGGUGUCAAGGAUAAAUAAUGGUAUGCCUCUCUAGCGCACUUAUUGUGAACGGAGAUUAUAGGACUGGAAGUUGCUCUGAGUGAGUCAGUGAGUGAGUGGUGAGUGAUUGUGAAGGCCUAGGACAUUACCAUAUACUAUUAUAGAUUUUAUAAAUGCUCUACACUAAAUGUAUAAAAAAAUUUCUUUCUUCAUUAAUAAAUGAAAUGUGGCUUACUGUGACUUUUUACUUUAUAAGGUUAAGUUGUUUUUAACUUUUUCACUUUUGUAAUACUUAUAUUAAAACACAUUCUACAGUUGUGCAAAAUAUUUCUUAUAUUCUUAUUCUAUAAGCCUUUUCUUAUUUUGAUUUUUUUUUUUUUUACUUUUAAACUUUUUGGUUAAAAACUGAGGCACAAACAGAUACAUUCACCUAGGCCUACAUAGCAUCAAGAUCAUAAAUAUCACCAACUUCCACCUCCAUAGCUUGUCCCACUGGAAGGUCUUCAGGGGCAAUAACACGUAUGGUACUGUCAUCUCCUAUAAUAACAAUGCCUUGCUUAUUCUGGAAUGCCUCCUAAAGGACCUGCCUGAGGCUGUUAACUUUUUUUUAUAAGUAGAAGGAGUGUACUCUAAAAUAACAAUAGUUAGUAUAGUAUAGUAUAGUAUAGUAUAGUAUAGUAUAGUAUAGUAUUGUAUUGUAUUGUAUUGUAACUAAAACCAGUAACAUAGUCGUUUAUUAUCAUUAUUAAGUAUUAUGUACCGUACCUAGUCCUAUGUGCUAACUUACACAUGACUAGCAGUGCAACAAAUCUGUUUAUACCACCAUCACCACAAACACUUGCAUAAAGCAUUGUGUAAUAGCCUCUAUGAUAUUGUAGUGGCUUACAACAUCACCAGGCAUUUUAGGAGUUUUUCAGUUUCACUACAAUUUUAUGGGACCACUAACAUAUAUGUGGUCCGUCACUGACCAAAACAAUGUUAUGCCAUGUAUGACUGUAUUUAAAGCUCCUUCUCCAGAAGAGCCCCCAGAGUUUUCCUGCUGACCACUCUCUAGUCACACAUGUUUGAGACAGACAGCAAUAAGAUAGCAUAAAACACAGAGACUCAUGAAGUCAGUGGUACGCAAACCCCCAAUUAGGAUUAUUGCCUGUCCAUCAAUAACAAUCACUAGACAAUGCAGAUUCUGGUUCAGCUGCCUCUGCUCAAAAUGCUUUGGAGCUCUCUUGGAAAUUCUUUCAAGCCCUGCCACAUUCUUCUAAAUAUCUGAAAUGUCUUUGCCUUUGAAAGGAAGAUGUGAUUUAUGGAAACAGCCAAAUCACUUGGAGCCAAGUCUGGCCGGGAGGUCAAGAUGGGUAAUGUUAGUUUAGAAUUACCCAUUUUAGAUAGGAGCGCUGUCAGAGGUUUCUCAGCAAUGAUUGGUUUGGUUCUCCGUGAAGAUAAAGCAGUUUAUUAUCUUUAAGCUUGCUGUGGAAAAAUACACAUAAUUAAAACAAAUUUAAUAUUGAUAAUAAUCCUAGUCUCUCACCCUGUUUACUAUUAUGUUGUAGCACAGCAGCAUGUGCCUGUAUGUAUGAGAGUGUGGCCAUGUGUGUUUGAUUAUAUGUAAAUAGAUCAAUCUACAGUUAGAUAGACAGACAUAUAUAGAUACAGCUAUAUAUACUGUUUCUCAUGAGAUAUUUUUUCAUUCCCUUUUCCCAGGCAUAGUUUCCAGAAUUCUCCUAUAAAUGUGAACCUGUUUAAUUGUUGAUAUUCUCCUAAGAUAAGCAAUUCUUAACCUUUUUUUAAAAGGUUACAGCUACAUAGUUCUUUUAGAAUCUGCUGAAAAGUAUGCACCCUUUUGUAGAAAAAAUAGAAAUAUAUACACAUUCAUACGAUUUGGAAAAGAAGGGACACAAAUAUCAUGUUUAAAACUUUCGACCUAGGAUUUGAAAAGCGGCAUAAAAUUCACAUCAUAGGAUAUAUUUACAAAACUAAGCUAAAAAUGACUUUUCAGUAGACACUGUACAUUAUUAUAUAGCAUCUCUAGUUAAUUAGUUGAAUUUCAGGUUGCCUGAAUAAGGCUAAGAACAAAUAAGUGAUGAUAAUGGAGAAGGAGAAAAGUCAGUGGGUCAUUGUGUAUUGACGUUGGGAUUAAAAUAAUAUAAAAGGUUUCUGUUUACAAGAUACAGCAGGCAAGAAAUACUUCAAAACCUUUCUGAUAUAAAAUGUUUAAAAGCUGAAUGAGGUGUAAGAUAUCUGUUUACACGUAUUUUCAGGUUAGAAAUGUGGGUACAGGUUCUGAGAUGCUAAAAUUGACAAGAAACCUCUAAUACAAAGAGGUAGCUAGCCUUAAAGUUGAUGGGCUUUUUCUGCAGCUAUCUGCCUAUUUCUGGAUGUUCAGACUGUUUGGUUUAUUUGGUUGCUUAUAGGGAAGAGAAAACAAAUGUAAUUCCCAUGGAAUCUAGGAUGUAUGACCAAAAAUUCCUUUCAAAGAGUGUAUUUUAUAAGGCAAAACCCUCAGUAAAAGACUGAAAUAGCAUAUAGCCCAUCAUAGUCUUCACUAUAGUUGCAGGGGCCAGUAACCUCUGAGAAAUCUUAAUCUCAAGACAGUUCUCAUAUGAAUAGGGGGUCAGGGGAGCAGGGUCAAAAUAGGUACUUGCUUUGUGACUACAAAUGACCAAAUGAAAAUUUUAGUUUAAAAUUCUCCUGGUUUGGUGGAACCCUUAGGCACCUAACAAGUGGAAGUGCAUAUUAUCUCUGGAAAAAUGCACUUAGUAACCAUGACUCAAAUAGUUCUCAUAGAAGAAAUGCCAAAAACAUAAAUCAUGAUAAAAUAUGAUAAUGCAAAAUACAUGAGGAAACAAGUUUUUAUAAGACUCAGCAGAAGCAACAAGGAGUAAAAUUAGACCCACUAUAUCUGGAAAAAUAUGAAUCCCCUCAACUACAAGAUAAGUAAGCUCAAUAUGUUUUAAA
rnacentral:lncRNA from 10 species